GCAAACUUGGUCAUUUAGAGGAAGUAAAAGUCGUAACAAGGUUUCCGUAGGUGAACCUUCGGAAGGAUCAUUACCGUAAAACGCGCCCUCCGGGGCACAACAAGCGUUUAUCCACCCUUGAUUUUGAGCACCUCUCGUUUCCUCGGCGGGUUCGCCCGCCAAAUGAGGACCCUUUGAACUCUUGUAGUUAGCAGUUUUUGUCUGAGAUUAUACCAAAUAAUCAAAACUUUCAACAAUGGAUCUCUUGGUUCUGGCAUCGAUGAAGAACGCAGC
rnacentral:misc_RNA from 1 species